rnacentral:misc_RNA from 1 species
GAUGAAUAACGCAGCGAAAUGCGAUAAGUAGUGUGAAUUGCAGAAUUCAGUGAAUCAUCGAAUCUUUGAACGCACAUUGCGCCCCUUGGUAUCCCGAGGGGCAUGCCUGUUCGAGCGUCAUUUCACCACUCAAGCCUGGCUUGGUGUUGGGCGACGUCCUCUUUGGGGACGCGCCUCGAAACGCUCGGCGGCGUGGCACCGGCUUUAAGCGUAGCAGAAUCUUUCGCUUUGGAAGUCGGGGCCCCGUCUGCCGGAAGACCUGCUCGCAAGGUUGACCUCGGAUCAGGCAGGGAUACCCGCUGAACUUAAGCAUAUCAAUAAGCGGAGGA